rnacentral:lncRNA from 1 species
GUUUGAAAAAAGAGAGAAUAGAGUGCCGAAGCACUUAGAGUGAAGAGAAAGAAUAAUAUAGUGUUUGUGUGUGUUUUUAGUUGUAUUACAAAAUAAUUUGAGAGUGAUUGUGAGAUUAAAAAUAUUAUAUUGUGUGGUGUGUUGUUUGUCUUCUAGUCAAUUUAAUACAAAAGUUUCUUUUCAAUUACCCAUAAUUUCUUUUAUAUUUCCAACAAGUGGUAUCAGAGCCACGUUCGAUCAAAAAUG